rnacentral:rRNA from 1 species
CCUACGGGCGGCAGCAGUGGGGAAUAUUGGACAAUGGGCGAAAGCCUGAUCCAGCCAUGCCGCGUGUGUGAAGAAGGCCUUCGGGUUGUAAAGCACUUUCAGUGGGGAAGAAAGCCUUGGGGCUAAUACCCUCGAGGAAGGACAUCACCCACAGAAGAAACACCGGCUAACUCCGUGCCAGCAGCCGCGGUAAUACGGAGGGUGCGAGCGUUAAUCGGAAUUACUGGGCGUAAAGCGCGCGUAGGCGGUCUGAUAAGCCGGUUGUGAAAGCCCCGGGCUCAACCUGGGAACGGCAUCCGGAACUGUCAGGCUAGAGUGCAGGAGAGGAAGGUAGAAUUCCCGGUGUAGCGGUGAAAUGCGUAGAGAUCGGGAGGAAUACCAGUGGCGAAGGCGGCCUUCUGGACUGACACUGACGCUGAGGUGCGAAAGCGUGGGUAGCAAACAGGAUUAGAUACCCGAGUAGUC